GUCAAUGCAGUUUAGCACUUAUGUUAAUUAGACGCAGCUGGUGUGUUUUACCAUCUACCUGGCCUCCGUUGUUUGCGGAGGCUGCCUCUAGCCUAACCCAGCUGGUUUGUGUCCGCGUGCGUUUAAACGAUCCAGACAUGGCCACCAGUGGUUAGCUUCAGCGAGGACCGCCGCAGAGGACCUAAGAGGCGCUGCGCUGCCUCACCUAACACCUGUUGCUACAUGAAUUAACUAUUAAAAAA